GCCAGGCGUGGUGGCAUGUGCCUGUAAUCCCAGCUACUAGGGAGGCUGAGGCAGGAGAAUCGCUUGAGCCUGGGAGGUGGAGGUUGCAGUGAGCUGAGAUGGCACCACUGCACUCCAGCCUGGGCAACAGAGUGAGACCCUGUCUCAA
rnacentral:SRP_RNA from 1 species